rnacentral:rRNA from 2 species
GCUUCUCUGAUGUUAGCGGCGGACGGGUGAGUAACACGUGGGUAACCUACCUAUAAGACUGGGAUAACUCCGGGAAACCGGGGCUAAUACCGGAUAAUAUUUUGAACCGCAUGGUUCAAUAGUGAAAGACGGUUUCGGCUGUCACUUAUAGAUGGACCCGCGCCGUAUUAGCUAGUUGGUAAGGUAACGGCUUACCAAGGCGACGAUACGUAGCCGACCUGAGAGGGUGAUCGGCCACACUGGAACUGAGACACGGUCCAAACUCCUACGGGAGGCAGCAGUAGGGAAUCUUCCGCAAUGGGCGAAAGCCUGACGGAGCAACGCCGCGUGAGUGAUGAAGGUCUUCGGAUCGUAAAACUCUGUUGUUAGGGAAGAACAAAUUUGUUAGUAACUGAACAAGUCUUGACGGUACCUAACCAGAAAGCCACGGCUAACUACGUGCCAGCAGCCGCGGUAAUACGUAGGUGGCAAGCGUUAUCCGGAAUUAUUGGGCGUAAAGCGCGCGUAGGCGGUUUCUUAAGUCUGAUGUGAAACCCACGGCUCAACCGUGGAGGG